rnacentral:rRNA from 1 species
UACGGAGGGUGCGAGCGUUGUCCGGAAUCACUGGGCGUAAAGGGCGCGUAGGCGGCCUGAUAAGUAGGGGGUGAAAUCCUGCGGCUUAACCGCAGGGCUGCCUUCUAAACUGUCAGGCUAGAGCACGGUAGAGGCAGAUGGAAUUCCCGGUGUAGCGGUGGAAUGCGUAGAGAUCGGGAAGAACAUCAGUGGCGAAGGCGGUCUGCUGGGCCGUUGCUGACGCUGAGGCGCGACAGCG